UCCAACAUAUAUUAAUUAAUAUUAAUAUGGAUGAAGGUGAAGGGUGUCUGUUCGUCGAAUGGGAGCUGCCCAGCUGCGCUUCUUGGUGGUGAGUACUGCAAAAGGCGAGAAAAAGCUGCUAAAGAUCAUCAUCAAAGCUUCUUAUAUAUAGUCGGUGGCAAAACCUCACAUGCAGUGGAGCUUUUGGUUCAUCAUUCCAACUUUAAAUUUUGAAAAUUAACCAAAAGGAACCACUUGACUUUGGAUUUGCUCAUAUUUUGGAAGGAGGGAUUGGAUUUAAAGUUAUAAUUGGGACGGUGGUGGGCCGGUGGCUUUGGCUCUGCAGGGGUAGCCAUCAUUGGAAGAGAAGAGUUCUUUGGGAUCUGCAAACGCAGCGCGGCUGUAUUAGGCGUGUCAGAUCUCAAGAGUCCUGACAGCCCAAAAGAAGACAAGCAACAAGAAGAAGCAAUCUCUCAACGGUAUUUUUAUUCAACAAAGCCAAGCCUGUAGAUAGAUUACGAACAGAGUGAGAGACAGAGAGAGAUCAGAAAGGAUUGUCAGGGAAACAAAGCAAUCAGCUGGAAGAAGAAGAGGAACAAGACGAUCAGUACCCGUUUCAGAAUAAAGAACGAUCGAUGAUGAAGAAUGCUGCUAAGUGAAUAGGGGGCGAGGAGAUGAGACGGUUCAGGUCCACCGCGGCGGCCGGAAAGACCGGCACAGCAAGGUUUUCACGGCGAGGGGUCCCAGGGACCGGCGGCUCCGGCUGUCGGCGCAUACCGCGAUUCAGUUCUACGACGUGCAGGACCGGCUGGGCUACGACCAGCCCAGCAAAGCCGUGGAUUGGCUCAUCACGAAAGCGAAGAACGCCAUUGAUGAGCUCGACAAGCCGUUGCCGCCCCCGCCAUUGGAGCCCCCAAGUGCGGGCUCCAGUGAAUCGGCGAUGGAGCACUACCAAGAAAACGAUGUUUCACUGUUUCUGCAAUCAUCAAUGGAUGCCCCAUUCAUUUCAGAAACUAUGAAAUCGUUUUUCCCGGUCUGUUCCGGCGCUUCACCGGUGAAUUUUCAGGCUGAUCGGCCCAUUAUUCCGACGAAUUUUGGGGCGAAUUAUGAUGAAUACAUCUUCGCCUCGCAUUCAAUGGCGCCGCGGCCAUUUCUAUGCGAAAGCUCGGCGCCAUGGCAGAGGGGGCCCCUUCAGUCCAGCUUUCCUCCAUCUCCGGCCAUCCAACCGUGUUUCGUUGCCGGCGAGGGUCUUUUACAACGUCAAAUUCACGGCGCCGGCGCCAAUCAGGAUGGAAUGGUUUCUUCGUCCUCUGAUUCGCCCAAUUCCCUCCAUUGAUUCUAGCCUAUUCUCUUUCUUGUUCUUCGAUUCGAUGGGUUCAUGCAUGUUGAUGAUUUUCUUGUUGAAACAGAGAUCAACUUUUUGUGGACGUUCGUUGUGAUUAUUACUUAUUUGCAGACUAGUUACUAGACGAUUGAUUUCCCAUCGUUUGAUGUAUUCCAGAGUUUUUGAAACACAAGGGCCCUGACGUAAGAUGAAAAUAUAGGGAAAUUUUGCCAGAUACCCUUGAAUUAACAUAGAGAAAUUUGUUCUCG